rnacentral:rRNA from 1 species
UACGUAGGGUGCGAGCGUUAAUCGGAAUUACUGGGCGUAAAGCGUGCGCAGGCGGUCUGUUAAGACAGAUGUGAAAUCCCCGGGCUUAACCUGGGAAUGGCAUUUGGGACUGCAAGGCUGGAGUGCGGCAGAGGAGACUGGAAUUCCUGGUGUAGCAGUGAAAUGCGUAGAUAUCAGGAGGAACACCGAUGGCGAAGGCAGGUCUCUGGGCUGACACUGACGCUCAUGCACGAAAGCGUGGGGAGCAAACAGG